rnacentral:rRNA from 1 species
ACAAUGACUCUCGGCAACGGAUAUCUCGGCUCACGCAUCGAUGAAGAACGUAGCAAAAUGCGAUACUUGGUGUGAAUUGCAGAAUCCCGUGAACCAUCGAGUUUUUGAACGCAAGUUGCGCCCGAAGCCAUCUGGUUAAGGGCACAUCUGCCUGGGCGUCACG